GACGAACGCUGGCGGCGUGCUUAACACAUGCAAGUCGAACGGAAAGGCCCUGCUUUUGUGGGGUGCUCGAGUGGCGAACGGGUGAGUAACACGUGAGUAACCUGCCCUUGACUUUGGGAUAACUUCAGGAAACUGGGGCUAAUACCGGAUAGGAGCUCCUGCUGCAUGGUGGGGGUUGGAAAGUUUCGGCGGUUGGGGAUGGACUCGCGGCUUAUCAGCUUGUUGGUGGGGUAGUGGCUUACCAAGGCUUUGACGGGUAGCCGGCCUGAGAGGGUGACCGGCCACAUUGGGACUGAGAUACGGCCCAGACUCCUACGGGAGGCAGCAGUGGGGAAUAUUGCACAAUGGGCGGAAGCCUGAUGCAGCAACGCCGCGUGCGGGAUGACGGCCUUCGGGUUGUAAACCGCUUUCGCCUGUGACGAAGCGUGAGUGACGGUAAUGGGUAAAGAAGCACCGGCUAACUACGUGCCAGCAGCCGCGGUGAUACGUAGGGUGCGAGCGUUGUCCGGAUUUAUUGGGCGUAAAGGGCUCGUAGGUGGUUGAUCGCGUCGGAAGUGUAAUCUUGGGGCUUAACCCUGAGCGUGCUUUCGAUACGGGUUGACUUGAGGAAGGUAGGGGGGAAUGGAAUUCCUGGUGGAGCGGUGGAAUGCGCAGAUAUCAGGAGGAACACCAGUGGCGAAGGCGGUUCUCUGGGCCUUUCCUGACGCUGAGGAGCGAAAGCGUGGGGAGCGAACAGGCUUAGAUACCCUGGUAGUCCACGCUGUAAACGGUGGGUACUAGGUGUGGGGUCCAUUCCACGGGUUCCGUGCCGUAGCUAACGCUUUAAGUACCCCGCCUGGGGAGUACGGCCGCAAGGCUAAAACUCAAAGGAAUUGACGGGGCCCCGCACAAGCGGCGGAGCAUGCGGAUUAAUUCGAUGCAACGCGUAGAACCUUACCUGGGUUUGACAUGGAUCGGGAGUGCUCAGAGAUGGGUGUGCCUCUUUUGGGGUCGGUUCACAGGUGGUGCAUGGCUGUCGUCAGCUCGUGUCGUGAGAUGUUGGGUUAAGUCCCGCAACGAGCGCAACCCUUGUUCACUGUUGCCAGCACGUUAUGGUGGGGACUCAGUGGAGACCGCCGGGGUCAACUCGGAGGAAGGUGGGGAUGACGUCAAGUCAUCAUGCCCCUUAUGUCCAGGGCUUCACGCAUGCUACAAUGGCUGGUACAGAGAGUGGCGAGCCUGUGAGGGUGAGCGAAUCUCGGAAAGCCGGUCUCAGUUCGGAUUGGGGUCUGCAACUCGACCUCAUGAAGUCGGAGUCGCUAGUAAUCGCAGAUCAGCAACGCUGCGGUGAGUACGUUCCCGGGGCU
rnacentral:rRNA from 1 species